rnacentral:rRNA from 1 species
GAUGAACGCUGGCGGCGUGCCUAAUACAUGCAAGUCGAGCGAACGGACGAGAAGCUUGCUUCUCUGAUGUUAGCGGCGGACGGGUGAGUAACACGUGGAUAACCUACCUAUAAGACUGGGAUAACUUCGGGAAACCGGAGCUAAUACCGGAUAAUAUUUUGAACCGCAUGGUUCAAAAGUGAAAGACGGUCUUGCUGUCACUUAUAGAUGGAUCCGCGCUGCAUUAGCUAGUUGGUAAGGUAAAGGCUUACCAAGGCAACGAUGCAUAGCCGACCUGAGAGGGUGAUCGGCCACACUGGAACUGAGACACGGUCCAGACUCCUACGGGAGGCAGCAGUAGGGAAUCUUCCGCAAUGGGCGAAAGCCUGACGGAGCAACGCCACGUGAGUGAUGAAGGUCUUCGGAUCGUAAAACUCUGUUAUUAGGGAAGAACAUAUGUGUAAGUAACUGUGCACAUCUUGACGGUACCUAAUCAGAAAGCCACGGCUAACUACGUG